GUCCCACGUCCCCUGGGCUGCGGCUUCAUCGCAGGAGGUAUCUCUGUGCCCCCUCCCCGAGCCCUGCGCCUCCAGCCUGCUGCCCCCAGGCCGUCCCGACUCCCUGCGUCCUGGGGGCUGCGUAGCUCCAGGUGGGAUUUUAAACCCGUUCUCUGCUUCCUGCAAGGCAGGGGCUUUGCAGAGAGCCUGGCUGCCGGCCGACGGCUGUCCCCUGCCUCUGUGGGUGCAGCACCCACGCUCUCUGCAGCGCAGGAGGCUGCCGUGGGGUGAUGGCCCGUGAAGGGCAGGGUGGCUGGAGGCAGAGGAAGGGGAGGUAUUCAGCAUGCAGCAGGUGCCGAGGCGAUGCUCGCCGCGACAAAUCCCUGUGAUUCAGCCCCAAAGCAUCUGCCAUCGCCGGGGACUGAACGUUAACAAGCGGCCGAGGGGGCUGCUGUCACGCAGCCGCCUCUGCCGAGGCGCCUUGGGGCCCCCAGGAAUGGGAGCUCCCCUGCACGGAUUCGCUCCGGCAUGCUUGGGAAGGACGGCGCUCCCCAGCUCCGCUCUGCCUGCGAGACCUCCACAAGUCCCUGCCGGCCUCAAUCUUUCUGCUUCCCUGUUGCUGAUGACAACGCAGGGCUGCGAAGGUGGGUGUUACAUUCAGAGCUCUGUUGGCCUCCGGGUCUCCUUGCUCGCUGGCAGCACGCGUCCCUUGAGCCGUGCUGUGCGAGCCCUCCGGGUGCUCCCACGUGUGCCAGCAGGGAUCUGGCAGCAUCCUGCAGCCCGGCGUUGGGGACUGUGCGAGGUGUGGGUCUGCAGGCUACAGGUGCAGGGCUGUUUUUUCAGCCACGCCACUUAGGUACAGCACCCUUGGGUAGAAGCAACCAGAGCUCACUUACCUCCUAUUGACUUCACUUUAAGAGCUGCCAGCCCCGAUCAUCUGUGAAAGCCUUCCAGCCCCGUGUCCUGGCUGCAGCUAAUAUGCUACAGAGGAAGAACAAACCACCCUGGCACCAAUUCCUCUGCUUUCCACCCAGAACUGGCUGGAACGCAGGGCUCAAACACUUCCCCAGAUACCUUAGCAGUGCCGGUUAUAAUUUCUCCCCCCUGGGUAAAACAUCCAGUCCAUUUGACCUCACAAUUCUGGACAAGAUCUUCCCUUUUAGCUAUCUGAAUUUGGCCUUUUUGGGUGUCUCGCCUGUCUCCGCACUUUUAGGAUCAGACCAGAAGCUCCCACCUUUCCUUUGUGGUGUCUCCAGCAGUGGAUGCUCUCUCCGUGGAAAGUGGGGUUGGAGAAUGGAGUAGGAUGGAGCCUUUUAAAUGGGCUUGGUAAUGGAUUUCCCUUUAACUGAUCACGUUUCCUAGCCAUGUCUGCUGUUGCCCCAGCCACAGAUAAUAACCCCCUGGAGGCUACACAAGGCACUGAAAUCUCCGGGGGAGGUGUGGAAGAUGGAAGCAGAAGAGUCCUUUAGCAGCUCAGCGAUAUCCUCAUCUCCCAUAAUUGCUCUCUUUAACCCCUGACGGUCUCACGGCCCCCUGUUCUCCUCCUGGCUUUUCGACGUGCUCAGCCCUGUUGUUUGUUUUUAUACUUUUACUUAUUUGCUCUUCAGAACCCCUUUAUGCUCCUGUAAUUAACCUCACACUGGUUUUUAGCGUUUGCCUCCGCUUAGUGUCACACGCCGCUGCUUGGUCCUGACUUCCCUGCGCAAAGCUGAAUUGAGCAGCGCCGGGGCUGCUGUUACUCAGCGUCUCAGCUAUUGCUUUGUGAAUUCUCUCCCGUGUGCCACUUAAAACUAAGUCAAGAAUGGCCUUCCCACUUCUUCCUGCUCCUCUCCUUGCUCCAAGCAUGGAGCAGCGUGCUGAGCGUGGAGGUACUUUCUCUCUAAACUGUGUCCCGCUGCGCCGUGUAUUUGUAUGUGGGUGGUUCAAGUCCCUUAUUAUCAUCCGCCGUUACCGCACCUUUGCUGGAGUCUGGUGCCAUUUUGAUCUUCUUCAUCAAAGAAGCGAGCCUGCCACUUCUCUGCAGCCGCCUGGGCAGGGAGAUAGAGUCUUGCAGGGAUGUGAUUGCAUCUGGCCGUUUGACUGCUUUUCUUUGCAGCUCUCCCUGGCCGUUCUGCAGAGCUUGCAGCCAGAUGUUUUGGUAUUUCUUUGGCUUGUGUAACUCCUCUUACAUCAAGAUCAAGGGCCAGGCAGUUCACCUGUGUUUGCAUGCUGCCCGGAUGUUUGUAAUGCCUGUUCCAGACCGCUGCAGGCUUUUAUCGAAUUCAACCUGCAACCAAACUGACUUCACAGAAAUACUCGGUACAGAAAUAUCUUGUCCUUGAUUUGCUUCUGUUAAGGCUUUGGUAGUUACUCCUGAGUCACGUUGCUGUGAGUCAGAUCGCAGCUCUGCUGUGUGUCAGGAACCAGAACCUGAUGGCCUUGCCUGGGGAUUCCGCCCAGAACUUGGGUUUUGUACAUUUAGGGGCUCCUUUGAGCUGAUUUUCUUCAAGGCAGGCUUUGUUCUCAGCUGGCUGUAGCCAACCCGGAGCAGUAGAGCAGACAGGAGUGGGGAGUGCGUACCCAAGCCCGAAUGCAGCCGGGCUGUACGGUGGGUUCAGCCUGAUGUCCCCCAGCUCCUUACUGCACCGUGCUGCAGCAAGCCCUCAGCAUCCCCAUGUGGCAGGUGACUGCUGGAUCUUCCCCGUACCCAGCACCGUCCUUUGGUUCUGGAGCUUCUACACCGCACGCUUUCUUCAAAGCACAAAGCCUAAGAGCGGCCUUCGUAGUGCUAAAUUGGACAUCUGUACCAGAAACCUAGCAGAAAAACCAGAAAUGUCUCUGUUGUGCUGUGCAGAUGACAAAAUGGUUGGAGGGCAGGGCUGCUGAUUUGAUAAGAUGGAACAAAAUAAAAGCUUUAAGAGGGCCAAAUGGAGCAUCAGCUUUGAUGAACAAACGGUGGACGAGGCUGUUCUGGAGAAAGAGUGACCAGACAAGGCAGGGAGGUCACUGGAGCGCCAGAUGACCUUUAUCUGCUUCAACUAUUGAAUUUCUAAGAGCAUUAAGGGCUUACUUAGUCAUGGUACCUAAGUGUCUCAGCAAAAAACCCACUUUGUUAACAGGCCUUCCAGCCUGGAGGACAAAAGUAACCGGAGCAGGAUCCAGUGGCUGGCAGCUGGCAGAGGACAGCUGGGAUUUGGAAUAAGGUGCAGGCCGCUGGAGUGACUCCCUGAGGCAGAUUAACCCGCUCAGAUGUCCUGCGUGUUCUCCGGGGGGCGAGCAGCAGGCUGGCAGGCGACUGGGUCGGAGAGGACAUCUGGAGCAGCUGGUGGAGAUGCUUCCCGAGGGCUGCAGGAGCGCAGGGACGACCGGAGAGGGCAGGGAACACGCUCCGUGGCACCAGGAGAUGCCGAGGAGACUGAGGAGCUGACGCACAGCCAGGCCUCGGCAGCGAAGGAACGAGCCUUUCGCGGAGCUCCAGGAGGGACCCGAGUUUCUUUGAAAGCUGGCAGCCCCUCAAAGCUGCUGAAAUUGAAGUCGAAGGACAAAUUCACUCUGCAAGGACACAGUGGAAGGAGAUAUCUGCUCUGGCCUGAGAGCUGCCAUGCUGUGGUCUCUGCUGACAGAGGUCCCUGGCACAUGUCCCCAUGGGAUCUGAGGAGCUCCCCACAAGGUGGUGACACCGCUGGUGCCUCCGCGUGCUGCCAGAGGAAUCCCAUCUUCCCAACAGGUUUCUGUCGCCAUGGAAUUAGAGCAGCACAAAUGGAAUGUCAUACGAGAUGGUGUCAAAAGCUUUAUGAAAAUCCCUGUGUAUGGCACCUUCCCUGUGACAUCGAGAGGAUUCUUGAAGACGACUGCUGAAUGCUCUGGAUCUGCGGGUUCAGGAGCCCUCCAUGAUCAAGCCCAGCUAAUCUAAAAAAUAACUCAUCUAAGGACUUUCUAAUCUGUUGCCUCCUUCCGUCAUAUCGCUGAAGAUUUCACACUUCUGUCGCUGGGGCUCGCGGGAGUAGCUCCCUUUUUAGUAAAGGCAAAAAAGCAAAAGGAGCGUCGUGCUUGUGACUGUCACCUCCCAGCACCAGUUCUGCGUGGUGGAGCACUGGGCCACCUCUCACCUUCGCCCUCUGCUUACUGACAGAGCAGCUCUUGGUGCCUCCCCAUCGUCUGAGGCUGUGUCUUUUGGAGCCCAGAUCCACAGACUUUGUCCCCAGUUCCUCGUGCUUUUCUUAACCGUCCAUCCCAAAUAACCUGAAGCAUUUUUAUCUUUUCUUUUCACUUCUGCCCCAUAUUUGAAGCCAAUGCGAGGUUUGUGGUUUUGAAAAGUUGAUCUUUUAAUAAUUUUUGACCGCUUCUUCUUCAUCAGAACAGUUUGCAUUUGUUGCUGCUGUUUCUUGAAGUAGCCACAAGUUCUUUUUAGCAAUCUGCAUAGAUUUGCCUUCCCUCUGCUCAUCCUCACUGAUUUUACCAGUUUAUGAAGCAGCUGUUUUUGUCUUGUUAUCCUUCCCUUUUGGCCAGAAGCAAAUCUAGACAUCUUUAGCUUUUUUGUUUGUCUGUUUUACCUUUUGGGUAAGAACUGCUCUACCAACGCAGUCAUAAAAUUUGCCAAGCAAUCAAUGAUUUAGAGGAUCCCUGUCAAGCAAUUCUGAGGAGCUAAAAUCCCUCGCUACCACCAUGUACCAUCUUUCAGAUGCUUUUGCAAACCACUCAUUAAAAUGGCUGUUCUGUUUUCUCUUCCUAGCUAUAUGCCUCUGCUCUAGCAGCACCCAUUUUUCCUUCUUUAAUUCUUAUUCAGAGACUAUUUCCUCCUGCAGUCUUAUACUCAGUGAAUGUACCUACGCUCUUGAUAUCCUCCUUUUUCUCCUUGUUCGCCCUUCCUGAACAAGCUAUACAGUUGGAUAUUAAUAUUCCAGACAUAAGUUAUCCCAACAAGCCCCUGUUAUGCCAAUUAAAUAAGAAUUUUGCUUUGUGUGAAGAAUUCGAGCUCCUCCUGUUUGUUCUGUUUCUAAUGUUUGUGUAUACAGAUUUCUAAGACAUUAAACACGUUGUCCACUAUU